GAACGCACAUUGCGCCCGCCAGUACUCUGGCGGGCAUGCCUGUCCGAGCGUCAUUUCAACCCUCGAACCCCUCCGGGGGGUCGGCGUUGGGGAUCGGCCCUCCCUCGCGGGGGGCCGUCUCCGAAAUACAGUGGCGGUCUCGCCGCAGCCUCUCCUGCGCAGUAGUUUGCACACUCGCACCGGGAGCGCGGCGCGUCCACAGCCGUUAAACACCCAACUUUCUGAAAUGUUGACCUCGGAUCAGGUAGGAAUACCCGCUGAACUUAAG
rnacentral:misc_RNA from 1 species